UACAGAGGGUGCGAGCGUUAAUCGGAAUUACUGGGCGUAAAGCGCACGUAGGUGGCGACGUAAGUCGGGUGUGAAAGCCCCGGGCUCAACCUGGGAAUUGCAUUCGAGACUGCAUUGCUGGAGUACGGAAGAGGAAGGCGGAAUUCCUGGUGUAGCGGUGAAAUGCGCAGAUAUCAGGAGGAACACCGGUGGCGAAGGCGGGUCUCUAGUACGGUACUGACGCUGAGACGCGAAAGCGUGGGGAGCGAACAGG
rnacentral:rRNA from 1 species